UAAGUUAUUAAGGGCGCACGGUGGAUGCCUUGGCACUAGAAGCCGAUGAAGGACGUUACUAACGACGAUAUGCUUUGGGGAGCUGUAAGUAAGCUUUGAUCCAGAGAUUUCCGAAUGGGGAAACCCAGCAUGAGUUAUGUCAUGUUAUCGAUAUGUGAAUACAUAGCAUAUCAGAAGGCACACCCGGAGAACUGAAACAUCUUAGUACCCGGAGGAAGAGAAAGAAAAUUCGAUUCCCUUAGUAGCGGCGAGCGAAACGGGAAGAGCCCAAACCAACAAGCUUGCUUGUUGGGGUUGUAGGACACUCUAUACGGAGUUACAAAGGACGACAUUAGACGAAUCAUCUGGAAAGAUGAAUCAAAGAAGGUAAUAAUCCUGUAGUCGAAAAUGUUGUCUCUCUUGAGUGGAUCCUGAGUACGACGGAGCACGUGAAAUUCCGUCGGAAUCUGGGAGGACCAUCUCCUAAGGCUAAAUACUCUCUAGUGACCGAUAGCGAACCAGUACCGUGAGGGAAAGGUGAAAAGCACCCCGGAAGGGGAGUGAAAUAGAACCUGAAACCGUGUGCUUACAAGUAGUCAGAGCCCGUUAAUGGGUGAUGGCGUGCCUUUUGUAGAAUGAACCGGCGAGUUACGAUUUGAUGCAAGGUUAAGCAGUAAAUGUGGAGCCGUAGCGAAAGCGAGUCUGAAUAGGGCGUUUAGUAUUUGGUCGUAGACCCGAAACCAGGUGAUCUACCCUUGGUCAGGUUGAAGUUCAGGUAACACUGAAUGGAGGACCGAACCGACUUACGUUGAAAAGUGAGCGGAUGAACUGAGGGUAGCGGAGAAAUUCCAAUCGAACCUGGAGAUAGCUGGUUCUCUCCGAAAUAGCUUUAGGGCUAGCCUCAAGUGAUGAUUAUUGGAGGUAGAGCACUGUUUGGACGAGGGGCCCCUCUCGGGUUACCGAAUUCAGACAAACUCCGAAUGCCAAUUAAUUUAACUUGGGAGUCAGAACAUGGGUGAUAAGGUCCGUGUUCGAAAGGGAAACAGCCCAGACCACCAGCUAAGGUCCCAAAAUAUAUGUUAAGUGGAAAAGGAUGUGGCGUUGCCCAGACAACUAGGAUGUUGGCUUAGAAGCAGCCAUCAUUUAAAGAGUGCGUAAUAGCUCACUAGUCGAGUGACACUGCGCCGAAAAUGUACCGGGGCUAAACAUAUUACCGAAGCUGUGGAUUGUCCUUUGGACAAUGGUAGGAGAGCGUUCUAAGGGCGUUGAAGCAUGAUCGUAAGGACAUGUGGAGCGCUUAGAAGUGAGAAUGCCGGUGUGAGUAGCGAAAGACGGGUGAGAAUCCCGUCCACCGAUUGACUAAGGUUUCCAGAGGAAGGCUCGUCCGCUCUGGGUUAGUCGGGUCCUAAGCUGAGGCCGACAGGCGUAGGCGAUGGAUAACAGGUUGAUAUUCCUGUACCACCUAUAAUCGUUUUAAUCGAUGGGGGGACGCAGUAGGAUAGGCGAAGCGUGCGAUUGGAUUGCACGUCUAAGCAGUAAGGCUGAGUAUUAGGCAAAUCCGGUACUCAUUAAGGCUGAGCUGUGAUGGGGAGAAGACAUUGUGUCUUCGAGUCGUUGAUUUCACACUGCCGAGAAAAGCCUCUAGAUAGAAAAUAGGUGCCCGUACCGCAAACCGACACAGGUAGUCAAGAUGAGAAUUCUAAGGUGAGCGAGCGAACUCUCGUUAAGGAACUCGGCAAAAUGACCCCGUAACUUCGGGAGAAGGGGUGCUCUUUAGGGUUAACGCCCAGAAGAGCCGCAGUGAAUAGGCCCAAGCGACUGUUUAUCAAAAACACAGGUCUCUGCUAAACCGUAAGGUGAUGUAUAGGGGCUGACGCCUGCCCGGUGCUGGAAGGUUAAGAGGAGUGGUUAGCUUCUGCGAAGCUACGAAUCGAAGCCCCAGUAAACGGCGGCCGUAACUAUAACGGUCCUAAGGUAGCGAAAUUCCUUGUCGGGUAAGUUCCGACCCGCACGAAAGGCGUAACGAUUUGGGCACUGUCUCAACGAGAGACUCGGUGAAAUCAUAGUACCUGUGAAGAUGCAGGUUACCCGCGACAGGACGGAAAGACCCCGUGGAGCUUUACUGUAGCCUGAUAUUGAAAUUCGGCACAGCUUGUACAGGAUAGGUAGGAGCCUUUGAAACGUGAGCGCUAGCUUACGUGGAGGCGCUGGUGGGAUACUACCCUAGCUGUGUUGGCUUUCUAACCCGCACCACUUAUCGUGGUGGGAGACAGUGUCAGGCGGGCAGUUUGACUGGGGCGGUCGCCUCCUAAAAGGUAACGGAGGCGCUCAAAGGUUCCCUCAGAAUGGUUGGAAAUCAUUCAUAGAGUGUAAAGGCAUAAGGGAGCUUGACUGCGAGACCUACAAGUCGAGCAGGGUCGAAAGACGGACUUAGUGAUCCGGUGGUUCCGCAUGGAAGGGCCAUCGCUCAGCGGAUAAAAGCUACCCCGGGGAUAACAGGCUUAUCUCCCCCAAGAGUUCACAUCGACGGGGAGGUUUGGCACCUCGAUGUCGGCUCAUCGCAUCCUGGGGCUGUAGUCGGUCCCAAGGGUUGGGCUGUUCGCCCAUUAAAGCGGUACGCGAGCUGGGUUCAGAACGUCGUGAGACAGUUCGGUCCCUAUCCGUCGUGGGCGUAGGAAAUUUGAGAGGAGCUGUCCUUAGUACGAGAGGACCGGGAUGGACAUACCUCUGGUGUACCAGUUGUCGUGCCAACGGCAUAGCUGGGUAGCUAUGUGUGGACGGGAUAAGUGCUGAAAGCAUCUAAGCAUGAAGCCCCCCUCAAGAUGAGAUUUCCCAACUUCGGUUAUAAGAUCCCUCAAAGAUGAUGAGGUUAAUAGGUUCGAGGUGGAAGCAUGGUGACAUGUGGAGCUGACGAAUACUAAUCGAUCGAAGACUUAAUCA
rnacentral:rRNA from 1 species